AAGUUCUACUUUUUUUACGAAUUAAGUUUGCGCUUGUCUACUUUACUGACUACCUUUUAUAUUUCCACUUCCCUUAAGGAAGAAAAUGCAAUGACAUGAAUGAACAAAUGAAUUGUAAGAUUCCUAAAAACAGACUUCGGAACUGGAAAUACCUUAGCAAUUAGUAUGAUAAAAUCAAUGAUAUUUUAUACUAUAAUAUUUAUAGAGAUGGGGUACUAGCGCACCAAAACUGAGGCGGACAAAUGAGGAAAAUUUCUUUUAGUCGCUUAUUAAACAUCGAACGUUAUUUUAACAAAUAUUAUCUAACGGUGGAAUUCAUACCCUGGAAUUCAUACGGUGGAAUUCAUAGUCGUAGUAGGGGGCCCCUAAGGGGAUUAUUCAGCCGCUAUGUGUCGAAUUCAACCCCUACGCGUUUCAUAGACAAAAGAAACCCCUCAUUUGACAGGAGCUGGCGGCUGACUGCUGAAUUACCGAUAUUUGUCAGCCAAACCAUCCCCUGGCAUUUUUUUUUUGUUGUUAUUUGUGAUUUAUUUAUUAGAAAGUGGACGUUCUGAUCGUUAUAAGUGAAGUUAUAAACAGCGAGUUAUAUCAGUGCCCAAGAUAUAUAUUCGCAAUUGCGUAAACCCAGUAUAAUACUAUGGCGAUAUGGAAUGUACGAAAGAUUCUCAUAUUAGGCAUAAUAUGCCUCUGUUUGAUGAAGAAUGAACACAAAAGACCAAAAGAGGAAUACCAAUACCGCUAGUAUUAUACAUUCUAGCAGCACUUCGAUUCUAUGAAACGGGAUGUUAUCAGACUGUAGGUGCAAUCCAUCAAGCAUUCUAUGAAAUAACAUAAAUGCCAAAAGUCAAGCUGUAUUGAUGUCACGCAUAGGUAUACAUAUAAACAACCCUGGAGGACCCUAUACACAGAUUUAAAGAAACCGGCUAUCAUGGCAGGGAAUAGCAGUGAUGAGCUCUGAGAAUACUGUUUUACCAAGAAUACUGAGAAUACUUUGGUUCUUGAAAAUCCGAGUUUUCAGAUCACAGUAAUUGGAAGACCCACAUACCUUGAAAAGUCAGCAGCAUUUAAUAUCAAGGUAGUAGGAGUGAGUGCAGUAUGUUGUAAGGUGGUCACUCACUCUGAAGUCCAUAACAAUAGAAAAUGUAUACAAAUCUUAAUUGAAUGAAAUUUAUUGAUUCACAUCUUUAAUAAAGAUAAUUAUUAAAUGUUUA